rnacentral:rRNA from 1 species
GACGAACGCUGGCGGCGUGCUUAACACAUGCAAGUCGAACGGAAAGGCCCUGCUUGUGUGGGGUGCUCGAGUGGCGAACGGGUGAGUAACACGUGAGUAACCUGCCCUUGACUUUGGGAUAACUUCAGGAAACUGGGGCUAAUACCGGAUAGGAGCUCCUGCUGCAUGGAGGGGGUUGGAAAGUUUCGGCGGUUGGGGAUGGACUCGCGGCUUAUCAGCUUGUUGGUGGGGUAGUGGCUUACCAAGGCUUUGACGGGUAGCCGGCCUGAGAGGGUGACCGGCCACAUUGGGACUGCGGUACGGCCCAGACUCCUACGGGAGGCAGCAGUGGGGAAUAUUGCACAAUGGGCGGAAGCCUGAUGCAGCAACGCCGCGUGCGGGAUGACGGCCUUCGGGUUGUAAACCGCUUUCGCCUGUGACGAAGCGUGAGUGACGGUAAUGGGUAAAGAAGCACCGGCUAACUACGUG